rnacentral:rRNA from 1 species
AUUGAACGCCGGCGGCAGGCCUAACACAUGCAAGUCGAGCGGAUGAAGGGAGCUUGCUCCUGGAUUCAGCGGCGGACGGGUGAGUAAUGCCUAGGAAUCUGCCUGGUAGUGGGGGAUAACGUCCGGAAACGGGCGCUAAUACCGCAUACGUCCUGAGGGAGAAAGUGGGGGAUCUUCGGACCUCACGCUAUCAGAUGAGCCUAGGUCGGAUUAGCUAGUUGGUGGGGUAAAGGCCUACCAAGGCGACGAUCCGUAACUGGUCCGAGAGGAUGAUCAGUCACACUGGAACUGAGACACGGUCCAGACUCCUACGGGAGGCAGCAGUGGGGAAUAUUGGACAAUGGGCGAAAGCCUGAUCCAGCCAUGCCGCGUGUGUGAAGAAGGUCUUCGGAUUGUAAAGCACUUUAAGUUGGGAGGAAGGGCAGUAAGUUAAUACCUUGCUGUUUUGACGUUACCAACAGAAUAAGCACCGGCUAACUUCGUG